AGAGUUUGAUCCUGGCUCAGAUUGAACGCUGGCGGCAGGCCUAACACAUGCAAGUCGAGCGGUAGCACAAGAGAGCUUGCUCUCUGGGUGACGAGCGGCGGACGGGUGAGUAAUGUCUGGGAAACUGCCUGAUGGCGGGGGAUAACUAGUGGAAACGGUAGCUAAUACCGCAUAACGUCGCAAGACCAAAGUGGGGGACCUUCGGGCCUCACGCCAUCAGAUGUGCCCAGGUAGGAUUAGCUGGUAGGUGGGGUAACGGCUCACCUAGGCGACGAUCCCUAGCUGGUCUGAGAGGAUGACCAGCCACACUGGAACUGAGACACGGUCCAGACUCCUACGGGAGGCAGCAGUGGGGAAUAUUGCACAAUGGGCGCAAGCCUGAUGCAGCCAUGCCGCGUGUGUGAAGAAGGCCUUCGGGUUGUAAAGCACUUUCAGCGAGGAGAAAGGGUAAUGUGUUAAUAAGACAUUGCAUUGACGUUACUCGCAGAAGAAGCACCGGCUAACUCCGUGCCAGCAGCCGCGGUAAUACGGAGGGUGCAAGCGUUAAUCGGAAUUACUGGGCGUAAAGCGCACGCAGGCGGUUUGUUAAGUCAGAUGUGAAAUCCCCGCGCUCAACGUGGGAACGGCAUUUGAGACUGGCAAGCUAGAGUCUUGUAGAGGGGGGUAGAAUU
rnacentral:rRNA from 1 species